ACAGUACAAACUGAACAGGCGAUAGCGAUCUUAGCUAUAGGGCCGGGUUGCCGGGGGCGACAACGGAUGACUUUCGUGCAUCUGUGGGACAGUA
ncrna:Clostridium saccharolyticum WM1 NiCo riboswitch